AGGCUAAUGUCCUGAAUCCCUAUUCCAAAAUACAAACCCUCAAACCCCCCGCCUCCCUCUUCAACGUAACACACGCAUACACCCACGGAAACGCAGAGAGAGAAAGGGAAAACGGAGAAGGGAAGAGAGGGGAGAGGAAGGAGAUGGCGCUGGCGGGACAGGCAGCCGCCGUCACCGUCGAUGCUCGCAAGGAAGAGAGGGAGAAUGAGGGCGAUCGAGCUGAGGAGAAGCUGAGAGUGAGAAGACGCAAAGAGGAGGAGCCGUCCCGCACCGCCAUUGCGUCGCCGGCACUGUCACGCGAUAGCGGAGAAAGCCGUCGCCGUCACCGCUGGUAUGGUCGGAGUCGCAUUCGUCGAUUGAAGGUGCCGCCGUCGUAGUGGAAGAAGCCCAGAGAGAGAGAUGAAGAAGGCCCGAAGAGAGUGAGCGUCGCUGCCACCGCCAUUGGAGAUGAACCCAGUUGUUCUCUUGCUGCCGGAGGUAUUGUUGUCACUGCUCUGGCUCAAUUUUGUAUCGUUACCGUAGCUGUUUGGCUGUUGCUGAGGUUUCCUACCAUCACUGGAGCUGCCGGAGAACCACCGUGGUUGUUGCCUAGGAAACGGAACGAGUGUGGGGUUUCCUUCCCUGUUCUUCAAACAGAAUGUGCUGAGGAGAUGUAGUAGCCUGCUGCUGUCAGAAAGGUGAGAACCCUGUAGAGGAAGCCAAGAAAAGCAACCAUGUGCAGAGAAAAAUCAAGAAACGCCAGAAAGAUCGUAAGCUUGAUCCUCAUGUUGAAGAGCAGUUGUGGUGGGAGAUUGCUGGCUUGCAUUGCUUCUCGACCUGAUCAAUGUGGCAGGGAUAACGGCUAUAUUUUGGAAGGUAAAGAGCUUGAAUUUUAUAUGUAGAAAAUCCAGAAGAAUGGAAAGGGUGCUGCCUCUAUUCUCAUACUUGUAUUUUGGAUGGGAUGGAAUAGGUCUUAUAAUGACUUUAGUUAUCUACAUGUAAUAUUUUGAUGUGUUGUGUACUUUUUGAAAAGAGAUUUUAUCUGGUAUUACAUGUAAUGGACAAAUUACACUCUAUUUUGAUUUGUGUUGUUUAGAUUAAAAAUAUAUCUAGCUUAUAAUGAAACUCUUAUGAUUUAAAUUUCUUGAA